rnacentral:tRNA from 1 species
GCCUGGUUGGCUCAGUUGGUAGAGCAUGUGACUCUUGAACUCAGAGGCAUGAGUUCAAGCCCCACAUUGGGUG